GAAAGUUCUAUGGGAACUAUAUAGAAAUCCUAAAUCUGAAAUCAGGAAGUGUCUCACAGGAGAUGCCUUCCUGGCAAUGGUCCAAGGAGGGGGACACACAGGGAAAGGUAGAGUUUGCUAGUUAAGUCAUUAUCACAGUCUUUUCCACAACCUCUAAUUCCAGUUUUACAUAACAGAAGGACGAUCCAGAAGGUUGUGAUGAAAUAGAAAGUGUGAAGAGAAAUGAAGAACAGGUUCUGAGAAGAAUGAAGUGAGGAAGAGCUAAAGCUGCUAAACAGAUAGGCACAGAGAGGAGGGAAGCGAGCUACUAGUGCAGCCCCUCAACAACUGCAGAAAGGCACCUUGGGAGAUGGGAGCAUCAGAGAAUAGGGGAGCAGCUGGGAAUAAGCAGAUAAAGCAGAGUAUCAGCCAGAAGUAAAACAAAGCUAAAGAGAGGCGACAACAGAGCCAGAGAUGAGAUGUGAAUGGGUUAGAGAGAGAGAGAACAAUGCUGAGGGGCUGGAAAGGAUGACAUUUGGAAUGAGCUUAAAACUAGAUGGAUACUUUAAGAGAGGGAGGGUGGUUGAGUGAAUGGAGCAACUGAAGAGGAUCCAUCAAGGGAAAAGCCAAUAAGAUAGGCAUUGUUGUCAGGCAUGGUGGAGCAUGCCUGUAUUCCCAGUGGCUUGGAG
rnacentral:lncRNA from 1 species